AUUGAACGCUGGCGGCAGGCCUAACACAUGCAAGUCGAGCGGAUGAAGGGAGCUUGCUCCUGGAUUCAGCGGCGGACGGGUGAGUAAUGCCUAGGAAUCUGCCUGGUAGUGGGGGAUAACGUCCGGAAACGGGCGCUAAUACCGCAUACGUCCUGAGGGAGAAAGUGGGGGAUCUUCGGACCUCACGCUAUCAGAUGAGCCUAGGUCGGAUUAGCUAGUUGGUGGGGUAAAGGCCUACCAAGGCGACGAUCCGUAACUGGUCUGAGGGGAUGAUCAGUCACACUGGAACUGAGACACGGUCCAGACUUCUACGGGAGGCAGCAGUGGGGAAUAUUGGACAAUGGGCGAAAGCCUGAUCCAGCCAUGCCGCGUGUGUGAAGAAGGUCUUCGGAUUGUAAAGCACUUUAAGUUGGGAGGAAGGGCAGUAAGUUAAUACCUUGCUGUUUUGACGUUACCAACAGAAUAAGCACCGGCUAACUUCGUG
rnacentral:rRNA from 1 species